rnacentral:rRNA from 1 species
CUACCUUUAACCUUGGAAUAACGAUUGGAAACGAUCGCUAAUACCGAAUGAGGUGACUGUAGUACGCUACAGUUUAUCAAAGUGGGGGACCUUCGGGCCUUGCGGUUGAAGAAGAGUUCAUGGGAUAUCAGCUUGUUGGUGUGGUAAAGGCGCACCAAGGCUAAGACGUCUAGGCGGACUGAGAGGUUGACCGCCAACACUGGGACUGAGACACUGCCCAGACUCCUACGGGAGGCUGCAGUCGAGAAUCAUUCACAAUGGACGAAAGUCUGAUGAUGCGACGCCGUGUGAGCGAUGAAGGCCUUCGGGUUGUAAAGCUCUUUCGCAAGGGAACAAGAGAAGAAGACGAAUAAUCUUCUGAUUUGAGGGUACCUUGUAAAGAAGCACCGGCUAACUCCGUGCCAGCAGCUGCGGUAAUACGGAGGGUGCAAGCAUUAAUCGGAAUUAUUGGGCGUAAAGAGCGCGUAGGCUGUUUUUCAAGUCAUUUGUGAAAACCUCAGGCUUAACUUGAGGACUGCAUAUGAAACUGAAAAACUUGAGUGCAGUAGGGGAAAGUGGAAUUCCUGGUGUAGCGGUGAAAUGCGCAGAUAUCAGGAAGAACACCGGUAGCGAAGGCGGCUUUCUGGGCUGCUACUGACGCUGAGGCGCGAAAGCUAGGGGAGCAAACAGGAUUAGAUACCCUGGUAGUCCUAGCUGUAAACGAUGGACACUAGGUGUGGGGAGUUAUCGACGCUUUCCGUGCCGGAGCUAACGCAUUAAGUGUCCCGCCUGGGGAGUACGGUCGCAAGACUAAAACUCAAAGGAAUUGACGGGGGCCCGCACAAGCGGCGGAGCAUGUGGCUUAAUUCGACGCAACGCGAAGAACCUUACCAAGGCUUGACAUCAUAU